CGGGGCGAGGUCACAGGAAGGAGAGUAUAACACAUUUUGAGGUGAGGCAUCAAAUUAUUCCCUUCAUCCAUCACCGGUACAGAGGCUCUCCUUUCACUCACAUCACAGCGAUGGCAGCAGCAGUUUCAUCCAGAAGCAGAGGAGCAGCGGGGGGGCUGUUCUUCCUCUUCACUCUGCUGGGUCUGGUUUGCACCGCAGCUUCACUGAUGGAUGAGAACAUUCUGAAAAAUCUCAAGGAAGCAGUUCAGAAAGCAGAACCAGACCUGCACAAAGUGGAGGGACAUCAACUCAGAGAUCAUUAACAACUAUGUGAGCCUCCUUGACCCCAUCAUGGCGCUAGUGAAGAAAAGCUCGGCAGGACCACUUGACUACGCUGCGUUUGUGGAGGAAUUUCUGGAGCGCGUGAAGGGUUUCAUGGAGGAAACCGAGUCCAGUGAGGACAUGAACAUUGGCAUUUUGGAAAUUGAACAUAAUCUGAGCGACGAGCAGAUAAUAAUCAAAGCGCUGGAGGACUUCCAAUCUGAGCUGUAACCUAAUGUGGGUCAGUGCCUCCAUCUGAUACUUCAUCUAUUGUGUCUGUGCGGUUCUAUUUACUAUUGUGCAGCUUCGUCUUUAUGUUAUAACUGGCCUUGUAAUCAUGAAUUUAUUCAAACUGUUUGAUUUAAAUAGGAUAUUAGAGAAGCACAGUGUGUGAAAUGUGUUGAUGGACCUGUACUCGAGUGCUAUUUGCAAUGUCCUCGCAAAAAACAAUAAUAAAAACUUUG